GACGAACGCUGGCGGCGUGCCUAAUACAUGCAAGUAGAACGCACAGUUUAUACCGUAGCUUGCUACACCAUAGACUGUGAGUUGCGAACGGGUGAGUAACGCGUAGGUAACCUGCCUGGUAGCGGGGGAUAACUAUUGGAAACGAUAGCUAAUACCGCAUAAUAUUAAUUAUUGCAUGAUAAUUAAUUGAAAGGUGCAAUUGCACCACUACCAGAUGGACCUGCGUUGUAUUAGCUAGUAGGUGAGGUAACGGCUCACCUAGGCGACGAUACAUAGCCGACCGGGGAGGGUGAUCGGCCACACUGGGACUGAGACACGGCCCAGACUCCUACGGGAGGCAGCAGUAGGGAAUCUUCGGCAAUGGACGAAAGUCUGACCGAGCAACGCCGCGGGAGUGAAGAAGGGUUUCGGAUCGUAAAGCUCGGUUGUAAGAGAAGAACGGGUGUGAGAGUGGAAAGUUCACACUGUGACGGUAGCUUACCAGAAAGGGACGGCUAACUACGUG
rnacentral:rRNA from 1 species